CAAGUCUCUCCUCUGUAUCUUAACAUUUAAAAGUACACCUAUUUAUACCUUAGGUGUCUCCAUUUUAGGUUACUGUAGUUCAAAUAUGAAAAAGUAACACUUCUUUUACUUUAUUCAAUUUAGGACCUCCCUUAAUUUGGCAAACAUACAAGGCCAUAACUAAAGGGUGUAUACGUCACGGAAAUUUUCCUGACUUAGUUCAAGAUGGC
rnacentral:lncRNA from 1 species